CCUACGGGAGGCAGCAGUGAGGAAUAUUGGUCAAUGGGCGCAAGCCUGAACCAGCCAAGUCGCGUGAGGGAUGACGGUCCUAUGGAUUGUAAACCUCUUUUGUCGGGGAGCAAGGCCCGCCACGUGUGGCGGGAAGGAGAGUACCCGAAGAAAAAGCAUCGGCUAACUCCGUGCCAGCAGCCGCGGUAAUACGGAGGAUGCGAGCGUUAUCCGGAUUUAUUGGGUUUAAAGGGUGCGUAGGCGGAAGGUUAAGUCAGCGGUCAAAUGUCGGUGCUCAACACCGGCCUGCCGUUGAAACUGGUCUUCUUGAGUGAGCGAGAAGUAUGCGGAAUGCGUGGUGUAGCGGUGAAAUGCAUAGAUAUCACGCAGAACUCCGAUUGCGAAGGCAGCAUACCGGCGCUCAACUGACGCUGAGGCACGAAAGCGUGGGGAUCGAACAGGAUUAGAUACCCCAGUAGUC
rnacentral:rRNA from 1 species